AUUAGUGUCGAGAGUUGGGUGGAGGAAAUAAAAUCCCCUAUGCUCACCCGUAGACUUGCUUCUAUUGAUAGCCCAUUAUAUCUAUGAUCAUUUGACUGGUGAUGCUAGUGAAGAAAUAAAAUAUAGGGCCCAACAAGUAAGAGAAGAUCCAGAUUGCAUUCUUGAGAUUCUCCUUAGCCAGUAUGGUUGCCCCAUGUCUUUUAUUGCUAUUAAGGACGCUUUUUAUGUAAAAAGACAGCAGGAAGAAGCUGGAUGUUUGUUUCUGGGUUUCAUUCUGUGCCUCUCAGGUGUUCAGGGAAAACCAAACAGCAUCUGUGCCUUGAAAGGUUCAUCAGUGAAUCUGCCCUGCUCAGAUCAACAUCCCACUGCAAGAAAUAGCUGGUAUGCUGGAUACUUCACUAUCUCCAAGAUAUUGUUCACUACAGAUGAAACACAUGUAAAGUACAGCAUGUCAGCAGAGAGUAAUUUCACUCUAACAAUCAAUAAUCUGACAGAGAGAGAUGCAAAUUUUUACUGCUGCAUUAAAACUGCUGACACAUCAAAGUGCCAACAAAGUGGAAUUAAUUUCCAAGUUACAGAGCUGCAGGUAAAGGUGAUUCCUGCCACAGAGGGACAGACAGUAACACUGAUGUGCAGCAGCAGCUGUCCUCUGACUGAAAAGCCUGCAGCCUACAUCUGGUACAAGAACAGAGAGUUUCUCUAUGAGGACUGGUCUCCCUGGUACCAAGAGCUGCUCAGCAGUGAGGAAGCAGUCACAUACUCCUGUGCUGCCAAAGGCUACGAGGAUCUCAGAGCCCCUGAAGUCUCUGUGGGUUCUGUAACUCCGACCUGCUUCAAUGUGACCUAUGCUAAAGGGAGAAUGUGUUCCUACAAGCAGACAUCAGUGGACGAGUCCUGCUCAAUCACAUAUCCCAGAGAAAUUCAUGUCCAGAGGACUCCUGCUGAACACAGAGGUCACAUCAGACUGACCUGUAACAGCAGCUGUUUUCUGACUGACCCUCUGAUUUCCUUUGUGUGGUAUGAGACCAGAAAGCCUACAGUGAAGGAGGGAAAACAGAUUCUAGUUCUCAGCUCUAAUCCAGACAGUUUGUCUUGUGGUGUAAAAGGUCUUGAGGAUGUGCGCUCUGCUGACGUCUGUGUUAAUGAUGAUUCCUGCUGGAUGUUGAAUUAUGUCCACAGCAGAAUCUGUGCUCUGCAAGGAUCUUCAGUCAACAUCUCCAGUAAAUACUCACAUCCUGACUACGUGCAGAUACAGUCUAAAUGUUGGUAUAAAGUCAAGAGAGAAGCUGAACAGCUGACUGAGGAUGCAGAUCAUGUGGAGUAUGAUGACAGCAUGAAGAACCAACACAUCCUCAGAUUAAAGAAGCUGAAGAGAGAUGACUCAGCAGAAUACAGGUUCACCUUCACAACAGAAAAUGAAGAAGUGAAUCAGGCUGAUUUUCCUGGAGUUACUCUGAUUGUCACAGAGCUGAGAGUGAAGAUGAGUCCUUCUGCAGUGGUGACAGAGGGUCAGAGAGUCACACUGACCUGCAGUACCAGCUGUCCUCUGACUGACAACACAAACUACAUUUGGUACUUGAACAGUCGACCUCUGACCCCGAGAGAGAACCAGAACAAACAUCUGAUCCUAGACCCAGUCAGCAGGGAGGAUGCAGGAAGCUACUCCUGUGCUGUGAAAACCAACAAAGAUAUCAGCUCUGCUCCAAAGACUCUCACUGUCCAAAGUAUCACAGGAACAUGGACACCAGCAGCUGCAGGAGUUUCUGCUGCUCUGCUGGGUUUAAUACUUCUCACUGUCUGCUGGUGGAGGAGAAAAAAGAGUAAUUCUCACAAACCUUCAAGACAUGAAACUCUGGAUGACUCACACCUGUAUGAUGAAAUCUCACCCCAACCAGCAGAGCAGGAUCACCACUACCCCAGACUUAAUUCUUCAGAGGAUGAAAUGGAUCAUCUCUAUUCCACCAUUCCUCCAUUUGAGCCCACUGUAUAAGACCAUGUCCACUAUGGUUCUGUGGACAACUUUUGACCCAGUAUAACCCCUGAGUGAGUCUUUUCUGUGAGUCCAAUUUCACUAACCACACUCAGGCCUGAAUACUGUCAAAUCUCUUAAAUAGAGCCUGUCUUACAAAGUGAAGCAGGCUAAAAAGUCCCAAAAAGCAGCAUCAUGUGAUGGUUCAACGAAACUCAAGAACAACUGAGAAAAUAUGUCAUUGACAUCUAUCAGUCAGUCUAGAAAGGGUUACAUAAGAUAUUUCAAAGGCUUCGGACUCCAGUGAACCACAGUAAGAGCCAUUAUCCACUAAUGAAGAAAAUUUUUUGUGGCUGUCCCCAUCUAGACACCUUAUCUCCACCCACUCUGCCUCCAGCAGUGACCCUGAUCAAACCAGGAUUUGUGGCAUCUUUGUAGAGCGCGACUCCACCAUAGCUUGCCCAAAACUUCCCUGUGAUUCUUGCAGCAGGCUAAGCCUCGCCGUCUGUAACUCUCCCAAUAACAUGAGCAGUAGCCGUAUGAUCCAUUCAGUCAUAGGCCACCAGCACACCUCGACCAUGGCUUAAAAAGACUAAAAAAGACUGGAGAUCACCCCCCUCUCUCAUCCAGCAGCGGCGGUGCAGGCCAAGACCCAGGCCAAGCAAGGAGGUUUUCCAAGACCUGCCUCUGGCACUCAGUCUCCUCCUGCAGUGUCUCUGCUGAUGCACCACCACCUGCUAACACUGCAUCAUCACCAGGUCUGCCACCAUCUGCACUAACACCUCGACCGUCUGUAUGUGAUGUACUGUGAUGGACGUUUUUAAAUCCUAUUUAUUCUUUUGAUUUUGUGCAGCCUGUGUCUGUGCCUACACAAAAAUGUGGGCACACGUUGGAUCUUGUUUUGACUCACGGUUUACCUCUAACUUAGAGGUUUUGUGAUGCUGUAUGGUUGGAUCAUAAGCCUGUCUUGUUUGAGGUUUCUCUUCCUUCCUUGCUGCCAGAAGAAAGUUUAGGAGAGCUGAACUUAAAUGGAAGAAGGAUAAACUUAAGGUGUCAUAUGAAAUAUUACAGUAUUACUGGAAUUCAUAUCAAAAAACUGUUAAAGAUGCUAAGAGAAACCAUUUUGCUGCUGUUAUUCAGGCAAACUCCUGUAAGCCUUAUGCCUUAUUUAAAACCACUGACAUGGUCCUUUAUGCUCCACAGACUGUUGGUGUCGAGUCCUCUCAGGACAUUUUUGAAAACUUCUACACUUCUUUAUUGAUAAAGUAUCAUCGGUGAAAGCGCAGAUUUCCCAUUCCGUUCUCGACCCUUCUGUCCCUGUCCAUAGCUCUGUUGUCUUUGACAGGUUUGAGCCAGUUUCUUUGCUUUGCCUGCAGGAGUUGGUCUCUCACCUGAAGCCCUCAGGUUCCCCUUAUGAGGCUCUCCCUCCUCGAUUUUUCAAAGAGGUUUUUCUCACUAUAGCACCAUUUGUGCAAUCCAUUGUAAAUAGUAGUUUUUCCUCUGGUGUUGUACCCGUGAAUCUUAAACAUGCAGUGAUUCAGCCUCUACUCAAGAAACCUGCUCUUGAUCCUGAUAUUAUUGCAAAUUACAGGCUUAUCUCCAAACUGCCUUUUAUCUCAAAAAUUCUUGAAAAGGCAGUUUACAAGCAAUUAAUGUCCUUUUUAGAAGAACACAGUAUAAGUUUUUCAAUCUGGUUUUAAAGCUUUGCAUAGUACAGAAUCUGAUGUGUUUUUAGUAACUGACUCAGGUGACUGUUAUUAUCGUGCUUUUAGAUUUAAUGGCUGCCUUUGAUAGAGUGGAUCAUAAGAGUUUAAUUUCCCAUUUACAGCAGUUGGCGGGUGUUAGGAGUACCGCACUGCAGUGGUUCAGAUUGUUACGCCCCUCUGCAGCCCCUAAUCUCCUCAGUCUGUUCAGCUGUUGCUAAUUGGCCACACCUAGUCAGGUGUGGAUAAAAGCAUACCUCAGGCAGGCUUCCCAGGAGCUCACUAGUCUUUGCCUUGGUGGAACCAGCCAUUUUUGCCAACCUGCUAUGCCAUUUUAAAAUAGAACCUCUUCUCACUAACACUCUGGUAUUCGUCUCCUUUUUUAUGUUGCGGCUUUUGAGCAGGGUCGUAACAAGAUCCUAUUUGGCACAGCGAACUUUCUCUGUGAAACUUGGUGAGUUUGUAUCCUCUGCUGCUUCUCUUCAAUGUGGGAGACCUGAGACCACUACUAUGGAUCUUGGUUCCCUGGCACAGUAUGUUAAACCAAUCAUCACUAAUCUGGGAGUUAAAAUGGAGGCAGAUCUUAAACUUGAAAGCCAGGUCAGAGCUGUUGUAAGAGCUAGCUUUUUUCAUUUGAGGCAAUGUGCCAAAAUAAAGCCCAUCUUAUCAAAGCAGCUUUUUGAGAGACUAAUCCACGCCUGUGUUACAUAUAGGCUGGAUUAUUAUAACGUACUUUAUUGUGGGGUUAGCGACGCAUCCAUUAGGCGUCUGCAGGUUGUGCAAAAUGCUGCAGCGUGUCUUUUAACUGAAACAAAAAAGUCUGAGCACAUUACUCCCAUUUUAAUUUCACUCCACUGGCUACCUGUACAUUUAAGGAUCGUUUUUAAUAUUCUUGUUUUUGUUUUUAAAUCUCUGAAUGGCAUACCCCCCGACGAACACCUCUCAGAGCUACUACAUCUACAUACACCUGCCCGCUCCCCUAGGUCUCCCAAUCAGCAACUCCGUAAGGCACCAAAAAGUAAGUAUAAAUUUAGAGGUGACCGUGCUUUUGCUGUAGCCGUUCCAAAGUUGUGGAAUGAUCUGCCCUUGUAUGUUAGGCAGGCCUCUUCUGUUUCUGAGUUUAAAACUCUUCUUAUAACAUAUUUAUUUGCCGAAGCCUUUGGCACUCUUUGAGGGGCUGACUCAACUUGUUUUAACAUGUUUUAUUUAUUUAUUUUUAUUCAUUUAUUUAUUUAUUUUAUCUUAUUUUGUGUUAUUUUGUUUUAUUGUGUUUAUGCUAUUUGUGUAUGUACAGAACUUUGUGAACCCUGGUUUUAUGUUAAAGUGCUUCAUAAAUAAAGCUGGUAAGGUAUAUUUGGCACCACUGUAGUAAGUCUCCAGCUACUGAUGGGACCCACCACAACACGUCAACACACAGGAUGUGGAUGAGUGCACAGUUGACUGCAUUUAAUUUGGUUGAGGCUACAGAAGCCACGCAAGCCUCUAUCUUUAGACUCUAGCUCUGUUCUGUUUUCAGGCUACUGAAAUAGGGGAGGCAAGAUUAGGUUCUGAUAGCUUUCUUCUUUUAAUAACUAAAAUCAUCAGUUAAAAAUUUAUUUUGCAUUUACUUUGUCUAACAAUAAAAUGUAUUUGAUGAUCUGAUCAUUUUAAGUGUAAGAUAUAAAAAAAAUCAAGAAAGGGGGUGAAUAGUUUUUCAAGGCACUUUGAUGGUCUGCAGAAGAAUCAGUCAAAGGUUUGAAGCGG